rnacentral:siRNA from 1 species
AACAGAGUUAUAUGCUUAAGGGAG